rnacentral:rRNA from 1 species
GAUGAACGCUAGCGGCAGGCUUAACACAUGCAAGUCGAGGGGCAGCGUGGAGCAGCAAUGCUCUGACGGCGACCGGCGGAAGGGUGCGUAACACGUGAGCGACUUGCCCGUCACAGGGGGAUAACCGGCGGAAACGGCGACUAAUACCCCAUAUGAUGCGAUGCUGCAUGGCAUUGCAUUGAAAGAUUCAUCGGUGGCGGAUAGGCUCGCGGGACAUUAGCUAGACGGCGGGGCAACGGCCCACCGUGGCGACGAUGUCUAGGGGUUCUGAGAGGAAGGCCCCCCACACUGGGACUGAGACACGGCCCAGACUCCUACGGGAGGCAGCAGUGAGGAAUAUUGGUUCAAUGGGCGGGAAGCCUGAACCAAGCCAUGCCGCGUGAAGGACUAAGGCCC